rnacentral:rRNA from 1 species
AUCUACGGCCAUGCCACCUUGAACAUGCCUGAUCUUGUCUGCUCUCAGAAGCUAAGCAGGGUCGGGCCUGCUUAGUACUUGGAUGGGAGACCACCUAGGAAGACCAGGUGCUGUAGGCA